UACGUAGGUGGCAAGCGUUGUCCGGAUUUACUGGGUGUAAAGGGAGCGUAGGCGGACUUUUAAGUGAGAUGUGAAAUACUCGGGCUCAACUUGAGUGCUGCAUUUCAAACUGGAAGUCUAGAGUGCAGGAGAGGAGAAUGGAAUUCCUAGUGUAGCGGUGAAAUGCGUAGAGAUUAGGAAGAACACCAGUGGCGAAGGCGAUUCUCUGGACUGUAACUGACGCUGAGGCUCGAAAGCGUGGGGAGCAAACAGG
rnacentral:rRNA from 1 species